AUAUCAAUAAGCGGAGGAAAAGAAACUAACAAGGAUUCCCCUAGUAACUGCGAGUGAAGCGGGAAAAGCUCAAAUUUAAAAUCUGGUGGUCCUUUGGCCAUCCGAGUUGUAGUCUGGAGAAGCGUCUUCCGCGUCGGACCGUGUACAAGUUUCCUGGAACGGAGCGUCAUAGAGGGUGAGAAUCCCGUCUUGACACGGACAGCCGAUGCUUUGUGAUGCGCUCUCGAAGAGUCGAGUUGUUUGGGAAUGCAGCUCAAAAUGGGUGGUGAAUUCCAUCUAAAGCUAAAUAUUGGCGAGAGACCGAUAGCGCACAAGUA
rnacentral:rRNA from 1 species